GAGCUUACACUGGCGUAAUGAAGAUUGCUAAUCUCCCAUUUCCACAGUUCAAUUCUGUGGUUAGCUUA
rnacentral:tRNA from 1 species